rnacentral:rRNA from 1 species
GACGUAGGGUCCAAGCGUUGUCCGGAUUUACUGGGCGUAAAGAGCGCGUAGGCGGUCUGUUAAGUGUAGAGUGAAAUCUCCAGGGCUCAACCCGGAAACUGCUCUGCAUACUGGCAGACUGGAGUGAUGCAGAGGUUUGUGGAAUUCCUGGUGUAACGGUGAAAUGUGUUGAUAUCAGGAGGAACACCCAUGGCGAAGGCAGCAAACUGGGCAUUAACUGACGCUGAGGCGCGAAAGCGUGGGUAGCAAA